GGGGGCGACUUGGCUUCGACGUGGAUUACAAAACCUGGGGAGCAUGCAGUGGAUGCAGUGACCACUUAAAUUCUAACUGUUAACUAUAGUUGCCAACGACGACAACUACGCUCUAGCAGCAUAAUGCUAGCCCUACUCUUUUGAUGCCUAUAUCGAGGGAUGUUAGGGUCGCAUAAUAGGCUCGCAAUGAAAUGUGUUCAGCAUGGAUUUGUUAAACUUUCUCUGAACUAGCAAACUGAUACCCUGACCGUCGGGUACAGGGCGCGAAAUUAAAGACGGAAACUAAGCAUGUAGCGCCUACAGGCAGAGGAUUUACGGACGCGGGUUCGAUUCCCGCCGUCUCCACCA
rnacentral:tmRNA from 1 species